GAUGAACGCUGGCGGCGUGCCUAAUACAUGCAAGUCGAGCGAACGGACGAGAAGCUUGCUUCUCUGAUGUUAGCGGCGGACGGGUGAGUAACACGUGGAUAACCUACCUAUAAGACUGGGAUAACUUCGGGAAACCGGAGCUAAUACCGGAUAAUAUUUUGAACCGCAUGGUUCAAAAGUGAAAGACGGUCUUGCUGUCACUUAUAGAUGGACCCGCGCUGCAUUAGCUAGUUGGUAAGGUAACGGCUUACCAAGGCAACGAUGCAUAGCCGACCUGAGAGGGUGAUCGGCCACACGGGAACUGAGACACGGUCCAGACCCCUACGGGAGGCAGCAGUAGGGAAUCUUCCGCAAUGGGCGAAAGCCUGACGGAGCAACGCCGCGUGAGUGAUGAAGGUCUUCGGAUCGUAAAACUCUGUUAUUAGGGAAGAACAUAUGUGUAAGUAACUGUGCACAUCUUGACGGUACCUAAUCAGAAAGCCACGGCUAACUACGU
rnacentral:rRNA from 1 species